UUAUCGUAUAAUAUAGAAAAGUUGUGAGGACUGAAAUUUUCAUGGUUUUUUUAUAGGUUUUUUUAAAUUUUGAAAUUAUGAGUUUAAUUUCGGAAAAAAAUGAGUUUUUAUUAAAGGUGCAUGGUGACUAGUACUAUUGUAAUAUACCGAAACUUCGGUAGGUUGUAUCGAACUUCAGUCAAAUCGACCGAGGUGCGGAGUUGGACAAGUUAGAGAAUUCCGUUGAUCAUUCCGAGUGUUCCGGAGUGUAUAUCAUGAGUGUUGGGACCU
rnacentral:lncRNA from 1 species